AGUGAACGCUGGCGGUAGGCCUAACACAUGCAAGUCGAACGGCAGCACAGUAAGAGCUUGCUCUUACGGGUGGCGAGUGGCGGACGGGUGAAGAAUACAUCGGAAUCUACUUUUUCGUGGGGGAUAACGUAGGGAAACUUACGCUAAUACCGCAUACGACCUACGGGUGAAAGCAGGGGAUCUUCGGACCUUGCGCGAUUGAAUGAGCCGAUGUCGGAUUAGCUAGUUGGCGGGGUAAAGGCCCACCAAGGCGACGAUCCGUAGCUGGUCUGAGAGGAUGAUCAGCCACACUGGAACUGAGACACGGUCCAGACUCCGACGGGAGGCAGCAGUGGGGAAUAUUGGACAAUGGGCGCAAGCCUGAUCCAGCCAUACCGCGUGGGUGAAGAAGGCCUUCGGGUUGUAAAGCCCUUUUGUUGGGAAAGAAAAGCAGCAGGUUAAUACCCCGCUGUUCUGACGGUACCCAAAGAAUAAGCACCGGCUAACUUCGUG
rnacentral:rRNA from 1 species